rnacentral:rRNA from 1 species
GGAUGCGAUCAUACCAGCACUAAAGCACCGGAUCCCAUCAAAACUCCGAAGUUAAGCGUGCUUGGGCGAGAGUAGUACUAGGAUGGGUGACUUCCUGGGAAGUCCUCGUGUUGCAUUCC